rnacentral:lncRNA from 1 species
AUUUAUUUUUGGCCUAUCCUGUUGUGCCACAGUGGGAACUGCUGGACUAGAGAAUUUCUGAGGCCAUUUCAAGCUCCAUCCUUCUGCCAUAACGCACCAUUUUACAGAUUUCUUUGUGAGGGAUCAUUCUGUACCAUUCACACUGAAAGGCUGAAGUAUCAUUCAUUUUACUCCCAUCCAACCCGUCACUCCCUCCCCUGAUCUUUGUGAUGCUUUAUGAACUGUGCCUCAUAAAUGUCACAUUACCACCUUCCUAAACCUCUUUUCUCCUUUCUUUUCUUUCUAAUAAGUCUCUGAAUAAUAGCACAAAAACAAAAUCAGAUAAUUUUAAGUCUAGCGUACAUUUGCCCAAUGUUUUAUGUGUUUUUCAUAUAAGUAGGUAUUAUAUACUAUAUGUACAUAAAAAUAAAAGUGGUCUCAUUAUUGUUCUAGACACAAUUAUGCUCAGAGAGUGAUAUGGGCUUUAAGAAUUUUUUUUUUAAAAUCAAGAUUUACUAAGUACCAGCUCCUUAGUACUUCAUAAAAACUGUGUAGAAUUGUAGGACUGAUUCCAAGCAGGAGAUGUUAAGUGGUUAAUUAACCAGCAUUUACCAUCCAUACAAAGUAUAUUUAGUGAAUAACCUCUGGGAAGGGAGGGAAGGAUGGUGGAGACAGUCACUAAAAUGCUAAUUUACUUUCUCCUCUUUUAUACAUAUUUAUAUUCCACUUGGAGAAAUCUCAUUAGUGUAUGUGAACAGAUCAGAGAACAAAUUUGGUUCUAAAACCUGUGGUGUUGCAACAGAAAUUUAGAAAAGAGAGAAACUCUAGAGCUUGUAGCGAUGUAAAAGACUCAUUUUUGGAGGUGGGACUUCAGCUGAAUUGUGAAAGAUCUAGAUAAGCAGAGAGGAGGAGAAAGCACACAGAGGGGAGAAACGACGUGAAAAGAGACCCAGGGGCAGUCACUUCCUCCCUCCCGCCCUUCUUCUUUGCCUUCCUUCCUCCUUCCCUCCCGCCCUCCUUCCUUCCCUCCUUUCUUCUCUCCUUCCUCCCUUCCUCCUUUCCUUAUUUCUUUUCCAGGGAGAGAAGGAUGGCAGAGGACAGGGGCAGCGUCAGAGAAGAAGGCUAGGGGAUCAAAAAGCCACUGAAUCUCAUCCAGACGGAAGAGAAUGGUUUUAUUAAGCAGAGAGUACCUGGUAUACCUGUCAAGCACCUUGUGCUGUCUACUUUAUACUUACCCAAAUCAUAAUGAUUAGUACACAUAAGCAAUAACGAAAACGUCUUGACCAAAUCUGAGAAUGUGAAUGUCUUACCAAUCAGAUUCCUCCAGCUACCAAUUGGGAAUGGUAACAAGAGAAGUGAAUCGGUAAAUUUAUUUGAAGAAUUUAACAUAACAGUGCUUAGAGAACACUUAAUCCCAUGAAUAGCCCAUGAUUGCUAUUUAAAGUUAGUUGUAAUUAUUAGUAGCACCCUAUUCAAAGCAAAAUCUAUUUAUCAGUUACAUGGUUAAAUGACUGUCUUGGCUAGGAAACAAAAGCCUAUUCUCAAAUUUACAGUACGAUUCGACUUCUACUUACUCAGUUAUUAAACCUGUAAAUCUAAAUCAGACUGAGAGAUGUUAAGAAAAAAACACAUAUAUGAAAGGUACACAAAAGCAUUUUUGAAGGUAUAGAAGGGAAGAUAAAUAGGAAAUUCUACCAGUUCAAAGAAUGAGUGCCGUGACUGCUGCAGUUUGAAUGGAUACCAACAGAAGCAUAACAUGGAAGGUCAGUGGAGUUUCCACUACACGGCUGAGAAGCACAAACUGUCACUACCUCAAACAGGUGAAUUAUUGAAUCCAUUAACCAGCACAACUUGAUCCAAAACUCAAAGUUGCCAAACAAGGAAGAAACUGGAAUGAAAUACGGGGAAGCCUGCUCAUGCAUCCAUCCACUGGAAGCUUUUAAACAAACACAUUUAACUGCUUGGAAUUGCCUGCUGCCAACUCUACAGAACUUGCAAGAUGAACAAAAACCCCUCUUCAUUGCAUGUUAUUUAAAAGAUUGAUUUGUGGUUGCUCAAGAUGGAGACUGAUCAAGAAGACUACACAUUUAAAAAAUUAUUUGGGGGAAAACAUGCUAAAGCCUAAAACCCUUUAUUUCUGACUCUAGCAAUGAAAUGCCUUCAUAACUCAAUGAUUUUUUUUAAUCACCCAUCAUUUUAUUUUGUUUUUUGAUUGAUUUUUAAAGUAAUAGUGGCUUCUUAUUAUUUUUAUUACACAGUUUUAUAUUGGUAAGGGGAAAUGUUUUACAACAUGAAAUUAUAGUAGUUUUCAAAUCAGUCGUAAUUUUAUAGUUAACUUACUAGUAGCCUCUAUGUGCUUUUUGUUCAUUAUAGCAAAGUCAUCUUUGAUUGUUUUCAGUAUUUCCCCAUUCAUGAAUCUCAUUUUUUCUUCACUCAUAAAUACACAGUGUAUGAGUUAAGUCUGAUGCAUCGAUUUGAUUUUGUUGUAUUCUAAUGAGGGAAUUCUCUCGUUCUCGUUCAUUCAUUCUAUGAAUAUUUACUGAAUGCCCACCCUGUUGCAGACGCUGUUCAAGUGCUGAGUGGUAGCAGUGAACGAGGCAGAAGAGAUCCAGGCUUAUAACCUGCAACAAGGCACAGGAAGAAGAGGGUGCCAGGUACAAACAAAGUGGAAUGAUCACUGAGCAAGAUAACUUUGGAAGGUGACACAAGAUCUGAAGAAGAGAAAGGAAAAGAGUAACAAAAUAGGGGUAGCUGAGGGAGUUUCCAUGGCACAGUCUGGGAAGACCUCUCUGAACGAGUCUGAAGGCAGCCGUCUGAAGAUUUUGGAGAAAGCUCUCUGGGCAGAGGCUGGUCACGGGCCCUGGAUGGAGGACUCUGGAUGGAGGUCAGGAUGGGGACGGACUUGCUAGCAGCGCUGCCGAAGGCCGGUGAGGCUGCAGAAGAGUGAGCUUCAGGCAAAGGACUGGUGAUGAAAUCACAGGCCCACAGGGAUGGAGGAAUUAGGGACUCUCACAUCGCUGACAUCUAUUUGCCAUAUACAUACAUAACAGGUAAAAUGCUCUUUCCUAACAGAAGCCCAAUAAACAGUUGCUGAUUGAUUUUAUUGUUGGAACAGCUGAUUGAUUACAGUGUCUUCCCAGUAAAAGCAAACCAUUCUCCUGAGAGAAAUAAUGAAAAAAGAUAGCUGUCCCCAUGGAAGAGCUAAUUUACCUAAUACACACUAUUCGUUUUGUUGGAGGCCAAAUGCAUUGCUUCUCACCGAUCCCGCAGCCAGACUGCCUCACAAGGCAAAGUCUAACGCCAUCUCCCUCUGCUCUUCUGACCGCCCUGACCUGGAACACAAGACCUGGGGGGACCCGACCCUCGUCCACCUUCUCCAACACACCUCCCACCAAGGCCCCUAACUUUCUGCCCCAGUGGUAGUAGGCACAUCUACGGUCACAGCUCUGCGGACACACCACGUCAUCUCCGCAUCUGCUCCCAGUAGUCACUCUGAGUGUCCGCACCCUCUGCCUCCAACUUUUAAAGAGCAGUUUAGGUGAGCGUGAGGCCCCUAAUUCCUCAGCCUGCACUACUCAUCUCCCAGCCCCACUCCUCCCGCCAUGUCCUCCUUGUAGCCUGUGCAGAUUUUUACAGCAUUCAUUGUUCGUUCAGAAUGUAGAGUCUUCUCACCAGAUCACAGGCUUCCUCGAGACGCAGAGUUUGAGCAUACAAAUCUUUGCAUUUCCUAGCACCUGGGAACAAACCCCGACAUAGAAGAGCGCCUUCAGUAAACAGUUCUAGGACGUGAAUCAUCGUUGACACCACGCUUCCCACCCCAGCUGAAAACGCAUCUGCUCAGCGUGUGUCCUCACUGUGCUGGUGGCGGUCUUCCAUUUCUACAGCAACCUGUAAAGAUUAGUCUGAGUGGGGCUGCGAUCUACUUAUGCUGGUAUUCCCAGGACCUGAGAAAGGUAGUUGGUACAUGAUAAAUAAAUAUCUGUUGAGCAUAUAAAUAUUUGAGAAGUAUCUCUCAAUUUAUUUUAUAUUAUGGUGGUUUUGAACCAGACUUUCUAAUGAAACAUCAUCCAAGCAAAUGCAUGCUAAGAUAAUGGAAAAUCUCAUAUUCAGAAGGAUUACAAUCACCUAGUGCUCUCAAUAUUUAUAAUUUACCUUUAUGGCAUUGUUUGGUGAGUGAAAAGGAAAUCAUUUAAAAUUAUAAUGAGAAGAUUCUUCUGCCAAAGAAGAAAACAAGUUUACACAGUGUUGAAGGUUAUAAACAAAUGCUAUGUCUUAACCACUAGGAACUACAGCAUUAGUCAGAGGAACAAAACAAAAAUUAUAACCUGCCCCACACGACAGAGCCUACAGCUAAACUGAUAAGGACAUGGCUUGUUUAUGCAGUAGUGCAAAUAUUUUUUUAGAAUUUAACAAGUCAAGGAAGGGAGUUUUAAAAUAUAAUUUUAAAUGAAAUAUUCCUGGAUGUAUCAGUUUAUUCGGUCUUACUUAAUUCUAAUAUAAUACUCUAAUAAUAAAGUAAGAAGGCAUUCAAACUAUUUUAGUCAUCUUUUCUGGCAGCCUUCAUGAAACCUUUAAUUAAUUGCACAUCAGUUUUACUUUAUAAAAUUUUAGAUUAAUAGUCAUGAAACUG